rnacentral:rRNA from 1 species
UACGUAGGGAGCAAGCGUUGUCCGGAAUCAUUGGGCGUAAAGCGCGCGUAGGCGGCCAUGUAAGUCCGCUGUGAAAGUCAAAGGCUCAACCUUUGAAAGCCGGUGGAUACUGCAUGGCUAGAGUACGGAAGAGGCGAGUGGAAUUCCUGGUGUAGCGGUGGAAUGCGCAGAUAUCAGGAGGAACACCAGUAGCGAAGGCAGCUCGCUGGGACGUUACUGACACUGAGGCGCGAAAGCGUGGGGAGCGAACAGG